rnacentral:rRNA from 1 species
UACGAAGGGGCUAGCGUUGCUCGGAAUCACUGGGCGUAAAGGGUGCGUAGGCGGGUCUUAAGUCAGAGGUGAAAUCCUGGAGCUCAACUCCAGAACUGCCUUUGAUACUGAGGGUCUUGAGUAUGACAGAGGUGAGUGGAACUGCGAGUGUAGAGGUGAAAUUCGUAGAUAUUCGCAAGAACACCAGUGGCGAAGGCGGCUCACUGGCCCGGUACUGACGCUGAGGUGCGAAGCGUGGGAGC